rnacentral:tRNA from 1 species
GAGGGUACAGGUCAGUGGCAGAGCACGUGCUUAGCAUGCACGAGGGCCUGGGUUCAAUCCCCAAUAACUCCA